AGCACCUCCUCAAACUUCAAGGGGUAUCGUCACAUUAAGGAAGGAUAGAAGGAAAAGGAAUUCGCACAUAAAACCAUGCAGGAGUAAUGGAGGAGGUGGCCAAACCAACUCACUCAAAUGCGACCGUAUUGAUCCUCCUCGCUUCCUCCUCUAAAUGACCAUCAUAACAAUGCUCCUCAAAAUCCCACGUCACAUAAGUUACUAUUUCUGUUGUAUGCAUUUGGACAUUUUCUCUCUCUCUUUUUUUAUAUGUUUUAUAAAUAACCUUUAAAUUGAAUGACUAUUUUGAAGUA